AAUGUGUUACUAUCAUUUGGGUUUUUGUUCUCUGCAUAACUGUCUCUUUCACCUAUAUUAAUUCCUCAGCAUUCAAGAUGUUUGUAGGGUCCUCACCUCAGCUACCUCUCACAAGGUGCCCCUGAAAAAGAAAUUCAAGACGUUUGGGUCCUCAGCUCAACUGACCAAGACCUUUGCUCAUUGAAGGCAUGAAGUAAUUUGUGAUGCCCCCACGAUUGCAGUUUUUAAAUCCAGAUGGCUUGCUCUUUUUAACAUGUGCGAGAGCUGGAUGGUCUUUCAACAACACUGCUCCGGGUCUUCAGCAAGAAAGGUGCUUCUCAUGCAAGGAAGACACAGAGGAUCCUGGUGCCCAUGACUCAGGUAAAACAUGCACACUGCCAUGCAUCACAGUAAUGCUAAAAUUUCAAGAUCUAAUGUAAUGGGGAGAAGUAGGGUGUCUUGGAUCAUAUUGCAUUUCUCCCACUAAUUUCAAUCCUUCAGCCAGUUUUGAACUCAUUGUCUUCACCUCAGUUCUAACUACAGCUGGCUUUACACACAUCA